GACGAACGCUGGCGGCGUGCUUAACACAUGCAAGUCGAACGGUAAGGCUCCAGCUUGCUGGGGUACACGAGUGGCGAACGGGUGAGUAACACGUGGGUGACCUGCCCUGCACUUCGGGAUAAGCCUGGGAAACUGGGUCUAAUACCGGAUAGGACCAUGGUGUGGAUACUGUGGUGGAAAGUUUUUUCGGUGUGGGGUGGGCACGCGGCCUAUCAGCUUGUUGGUGGGGUAAUGGCCUACCAAGGCGGCGACGGGUAGCCGGCCUGAGAGGGUGGACGGCCACAUUGGGACUGAGACACGGCCCAGACUCCUACGGGAGGCAGCAGUGGGGAAUAUUGCACAAUGGGCGGAAGCCUGAUGCAGCGACGCCGCGUGGGGGAUGACGGCCUUCGGGUUGUAAACUCCUUUCACCAUCGACGAAGGGUUUCUGACGGUAGAUGGAGAAGAAGCACCGGCUAACUACGUG
rnacentral:rRNA from 1 species